rnacentral:rRNA from 1 species
GGUGAACGCCGGCGGUGUGCCUAAUACAUGCAAGUCGUACGCACUGGCCCAACUGAUUGAUGGUGCUUGCACCUGAUUGACGUUGGAUCACCAGUGAGUGGCGGACGGGUGAGUAACACGUAGGUAACCUGCCCCGGAGCGGGGGAUAACAUUUGGAAACAGAUGCUAAUACCGCAUAACAACAAAAGCCACAUGGCUUUUGUUUGAAAGAUGGCUUUGGCUAUCACUCUGGGAUGGACCUGCGGUGCAUUAGCUAGUUGGUAAGGUAACGGCUUACCAAGGCGAUGAUGCAUAGCCGAGUUGAGAGACUGAUCGGCCACAAUGGAACUGAGACACGGUCCAUACUCCUACGGGAGGCAGCAGUAGGGAAUCUUCUACAAUGGGCGCAAGCCUGAUGGAGCAACACCGCGUGAGUGAAGAAGGGUUUCGGCUCGUAAAGCUCUGUUGUUGGAGAAGAACGUGCGUGAGAGUAACUGUUCACGCAGUGACGGUAUCCAACCAGAAAGUCACGGCUAACUACGUGCCAGCAGCCGCGGUAAUACGUAGGUGGCAAGCGUUAUCCGGAUUUAUUGGGCGUAAAGCGAGCGCAGGCGGUUACUUAGGUCUGAUGUGAAAGCCUUCGGCUUAACCGAAGAAGUGCAUCGGAAACCGGGCGACUUGAGUGCAGAAGAGGACAGUGGAACUC